GAUGAACGCUAGCGGCAGGCCUAACACAUGCAAGUCGAGGGGUAGCAGGAUUAAGCUUGCUUAAUUGCUGACGACCGGAGCACGGGUGCGUAACGCGUAUGCAACCUACCUUAUACUGGGGUAUAGCCCGGAGAAAUUCGGAUUAAUCUCCCAUAGUGGUAAUGAAUAGCAUGGUUUAUUAGUUAAAGAAUUGCGGUAUAAGAUGGGCAUGCGUCCUAUUAGUUAGAUGGUGAGGUAACGGCUCACCAUGGCUACGAUAGGUAGGGGGCCUGAGAGGUUGGUCCCCCACACUGGUACUGAGACACGGACCAGACUCCUACGGGAGGCAGCAGUGAGGAAUAUUGGUCUAUGGGCGCAAGCCUGAACCAGCCAUGCCGCGUGCAGGAAGAAUGCCCUAUGGGUUGUAAACUGCUUUUAUUUGGGAAUAAACCUCUUUACGUGUAGAGAGCUGAAGGUACCAAAUGAAUAAGCACCGGCUAACUCCGUGCCAGCAGCCGCGGUAA
rnacentral:rRNA from 1 species